rnacentral:tRNA from 1 species
GCGCCCGUAGCGUAGCCUGGGAACGCACCGGACCUAUGAUCCGGCGAACGCGCCCUUCCGAUGCAGGGGUGAUCGCAGGUUCGAAUCCUGCCGGGCGCA